ACUAAACUUCAAAACAGAUAAUUUACAUGUUUUUGGAAAUUUUUAUUUUAAACAUUAUGUAAUUCAUUCACCGCUUUGUUGCGUCAUAUAUUUAUUUUUUUUAGAGAUAAGCUUGUUUCCGAUUUACGAGUGGAUUUCUUGUAACAUUGAAGCUUAAUAAAUGAAAUGAGUGCUUCCCAUUCCUAUCUUUUCAAACAGACGGAUUUGCAAGAGAGCUGUUAUCGCAUAACAUAAUUAGUGUAUCGGUAAAUGGGUGUUACUUUUGUCGAUUUUAUGAUACCUAUGUUUUUAGAUAAGGUUUCAGGGAAAGCCCGACCAUAGAAUAAUGAAUUUUAGUUUUAUUAAUAUUUUAUAAUAAAAAAAUAAAAUUCACUUUCAAUAUAGAGCAUUAGUAUGAAACCAUUAGGCAACGCUGUGUUAUAUACAAGGUUUAUAAACUUAAUAAGGACAAAUGAAGACAAACAAGAGAAAAUGUUCUAAGUACAAAUGAGAUUUUCUCUUUGUUUACUUUUUCUUUCGAGUAUUACGGCUCAAUCAGCAAUCAUUUCAUCUAACACUUCACAUAGGACAAUAUCAAAAACAGAACUUAGCAUGCAACAUAAUCGACACAGAAUAUCGGAAUAAUAAACUAGUGCCCUGUUGCAGUUCUCCGUGAGAAUACAGACCAACAAUUGGAAUAAUCUCACAGGAUAUAAAUGAAAAGUUUCUGAGAACAUUCUGCAGCGCUUUUAUAAUAAAUUAGGGAUCUAUUAACUAUUGUGUUUUUUUCUAGGGAGAUCUUCCCCCCUAUUCUGUACGUCGAUCGAUUCGAAAUAUUCUGAUCGAAUCUGCGAUUUCCAUUCUGCAUUCCGUUCGAGUUGGGUAUGAACUCGAAUGUCAUUCGUGCGAAUUGUUAAAUUUUCGAACAUUACUCGAUCGACUUGCCUACGUACACUCAAAAAAUAAAUCACUUGAGUUUUAUUGGAUUAUUCACGUGAAUGCAUUGUUUGACUUAUUUUUGCUACUUUACGUGAUUCCUAUAUAUACACACAGGCAAAAAAUAUAUGGAAUUUCAUAAUGAUUUCGUAUGAUUUUUAGCCACAAGAAUAUCGUAAGCGAACCAUAAGACCGCCUUAUGAAAUCCCGAAAAUAGGAAUUCCAAUAAAACGCCUUAUGAAAUUCAUACGGAAUUUUUAGGAACAUUAUGCGAAAUUUCUAUGAUAAACAUAACUUCUCUCAUAUCUUGUGAAGUUCAUAAGUUGUUCGUAUGAAAACUAUAAUAGUGAUAGAUAAGAUGUAUAUUGCAGAGGUAUAUUUUUCAUAUUUAUCUUAUGAAAUUAUGAUUUUGGAGAUUUUUGAUGCAUCAUAAGAUUUGCCUUAUGAUUUUCACUACUCAAUUUGCUUGAGUGUAACAAAUGGGAUUCAUGUGCAAGUUAUAUGAUUUGCCCAUAAUUUUUAUGUGAUGAAACACAUACUGGGAAGUUAAGUGAAUUUUCUGUACGAAAAAAAAUCAAAAUCAAAAUGGCUGACAUUCUGCUUGCCGAAUUGGAUAUUCUGCUUCUCUUGUUGGAAAAUUUUAAACGAAAGUAGAACAUUGAAAUAUACACUGAAAUGAAAAUCUUAUUUAUAAUAUUUAAAUUUGUCACAUGAAUCAUAUGCAGAACAUAAUUUAUAGAAGUUAUAUGGAAACUUAUAAUCUUAAGUGUACGUUAAAUCUAAAUAUUAUAUUCAUUGGAUAUGUCUUAUGAAUCGUACGCAGAUGGUAUUUCCCAAAACACAUAUGACAACUUAUGACCUUUAAUGGAACUAUACAUAAAAUCUAAAUGAUGUUCAAUAAAUGUUAUAUCUUCAUAAUCUUUAUGAUAUUGAUAAGAAUAUCAUAUACAAGUUGAAGCUGAAGAAGGAGUUGUGUCCUCGAUAUUCAUCAACUGCUCCAGACAGUUUUUUUUAGGAAGUUCCGUUAUUUUAAAUCGCUGACAAGACAGCUCAUUUAAUUUCGUUCAAGGAUAUGCCCUAACGGAUUAUGAAAUAAUUACACGGUACGUCUCAUCAUUCUUUCUGUCUAAUAAGAGGGUUUAAAUUAUUUAUUUAUAGUUUCGGGAUCCUACUUCUCCUUCGCAAAUAUCAGGAGGAGCUCCCUUACAAAACUAACGACUAGUUUAGCUCAAAUCCUCGAGAAAAGAUGUAGUUUCCGAUUCGUUGUGCAUCUGAUUCGUCUGGUAACAGUAAAUAUCCGAUGAAAUCAGCCAGUUCCAAAGAAGAAAUGCAAACAUUGAAACCUACUGGAAUAGAGCAUGACUUUCAAUACAAAGGGGAAAACCAGCGCAUGCUUAGAAGCAUACUUAAUCAACAGGCAGCUGCCAGGUACUUUGUCUUGGAAUAGGUUAACACACGCAGAAGCACAAAACGUCAAAGGUAACUAUCGACAACGAAUGUAACAGCGACUGAAUUGUCACGUCGGAAUGUAGUACCAACAUUGUUUUGCAAGCG